CGUGAAUCGCGACUAUACAUGG
rnacentral:siRNA from 1 species